UGACUUAGCAAGGAUCUUAUGUAGGCAGCAGUGCAUGAUGCGAUCCGAUUAACGCUGCAUUUCCCAAGCUAUUCUGCUCUGCAUUCUCCUCCCAUAUUACCUCUGAAGCCACACCCUACUCACAAUCAUCACAGGCACGGGGCUGUGCUGACAUAGCUACUUGUUUUCUCGUUGGCAGCACCAAAACAGACAACUGACAGUGGGAAACCAUAUCCUGAAUACAUUUAAACAGCCAAAUCUACUUACAUACAGAGAGGUAAUGAAGCAAUUUCAGUAAUGCUGAGGGUCAGUAUAAGCGAAGAUAACUACAGCAUAAUUUGUGCACACCCUUAUUCCUCAAGAAGAUGUACACAUGUCACUGAAGUGUUAUGCUUCAGGAAUUCUCUGCAAGAUCCAGCCACGACUACCAUUUUGGUAAGAAGCCUCAGAAUUGUACGUGACAAGCACCAACGUGACAAGAACAAAACUAAUUAAUUAUCAGUAUAUAAAUCCAUCAGUACACAAAUCCAACUGUCUACUACCAAACUGUUUUGGUGUCAACUCUGCAUUUUGUUUCUUUUUUAAAAUGUA